AGUGAACGCUGGCGGUAGGCCUAACACAUGCAAGUCGAACGGCAGCACAGUAAGAGCUUGCUCUUACGGGUGGCGAGUGGCGGACGGGUGAGGAAUACAUCGGAAUCUACUUUUUCGUGGGGGAUAACGUAGGGAAACUUACGCUAAUACCGCAUACGACCUACGGGUGAAAGCAGGGGAUCUUCGGACCUUGCGCGAUUGAAUGAGUCGAUGUCGGAUUAGCUGGUUGGCGGGGUAAAGGCCCACCAAGGCGACGAUCCGUAGCUGGUCUGAGAGGAUGAUCAGCCACACUGGAGCUGAGACACGGUCCAGACUCCUACGGGAGGCAGCAGUGGGGAAUAUUGGACAAUGGGCGCAAGCCUGAUCCAGCCAUACCGCGUGGGUGAAGAAGGCCUUCGGGUUGUAAAGCCCUUUUGUUGGGAAAGAAAAGCAGCAGGUUAAUACCCCGCUGUUCUGACGGUACCCAAAGAAUAAGCACCGGCUAACUUCGUG
rnacentral:rRNA from 1 species